rnacentral:rRNA from 1 species
GAUGAACGCUGGCGGCGUGCUUAACACAUGCAAGUCGAACGAUGAAGCCCAGCUUGCUGGGUGGAUUAGUGGCGAACGGGUGAGUAACACGUGAGUAACCUGCCCUUGACUCUGGGAUAAGCCUGGGAAACUGGGUCUAAUACUGGAUAUGACUUCUCAUCGCAUGGUGGGGGGUGGAAAGAUUUAUUGGUCUUGGAUGGACUCGCGGCCUAUCAGCUUGUUGGUGAGGUAAUGGCCCACCAAGGCGACGACGGGUAGCCGGCCUGAGAGGGUGACCGGCCACACUGGGACUGAGACACGGCCCAGACUCCUACGGGAGGCAGCAGUGGGGAAUAUUGCACAAUGGGCGCAAGCCUGAUGCAGCGGCGCCGCGUGAGGGAUGACGGCCUUCGGGUUGUAAACCUCUUUCAGUAGGGAAGAAGCGAGAGUGACGGUACCUGCAGAAGAAGCGCCGGCUAACUACGUG